ACGUACACUCCUGCGGGAGGCAGCAGUGAGGAAUAUUGGACAAUGGGUGGAAGCCUGAUCCAGCCAUCCCGCGUGCAGGAAGACGGCCCUAUGGGUUGUAAACUGCUUUUAUCUGGGGAUAAACCUACUUACGUGUAAGUAGCUGAAGGUACCAGAAGAAUAAGCACCGGCUAACUCCGUGCCAGCAGCCGCGGUAAUACGGAGGGUGCAAGCGUUAUCCGGAUUUAUUGGGCUUAAAGGGUCCGUAGGCAGACUGAUAAGUCAGUGGUGAAAUCCGACAGCUUAACUGUCGAACUGCCAUUGAUACUGUUAGUCUUGAGUAAGGUUGAAGUGGCUGGAAUAAGUAGUGUAGCGGUGAAAUGCAUAGAUAUUACUUAGAACACCAAUUGCGAAGGCAGGUCACUAAGUCUUAACUGACGCUGAUGGACGAAAGCGUGGGGAGCGAACAGGAGUAGAUACCCUUGUAGUCCCAU
rnacentral:rRNA from 1 species